rnacentral:rRNA from 1 species
UGCGUAGGUGGCGCCGUAAGUCAGGUGUGAAAUCUCGGGGCUUAACUCCGAAACUGCAUUUGAUACUGCGGUGCUUGAGGACUGGAGAGGAGACUGGAAUUCAUGGUGUAGCAGUGAAAUGCGUAGAGAUCAUGAGGAAGACCAGUGGCGAAGGCGGGUCUCUGGACAGUUCCUGACACUGAGGCACGAAGGCCAGGGGAGCAAACG